UAGGGCUGUAGUGUAGAGUUAGGGCUGUAGUGUAGAGUUAGGGCUGUAGUGUAGAGUUAGGGCUGUAGUGUAGAGUUAGGGCUGUAGUGUAGAGUUACGGCUGUAGUGUAGAGAUACGGCAUUUUAGUCACAUAAAGACUGUUAAACUAGCUGUAGAAGUGCUGUAGAGGUGCUGUAUCUCAGCUGUAGGGGUGCUGUAUCUCAGCUGUAGAGGUGCUGUAGAGGUGCUGUAUCUCAGCUGUAGAGGUGCUGUAUCUCAGCUGUAGAGGUGCUGAGAGGUGAUGUAUUUCAGCUGUAGAGGUGCUGUAUCUCAGCUGUAGAGGUGCUGUAUCUCAGCUGUAGAGGUGCUGUAUCUCAGCUGUAGAGGUGCUGUAUCUCAGCUGUAGAGGUGCUGUAUCUCAGCUGUACUGUUGUAAAGUUAUUUAGGGGUAAUGGUCACUAAGCUACUGGGUAGCUAAAUCCAUGUUGACACGAGCAGUUGAGUCCAGUCUGUACUUGUCCAUUUGCGGUCUAGCUGCAGUCGUUGUGGAUGAACUGCAGCUGGGUUAUUGCCGAUCCACAGCAGAGUGGGUAGACAACCAUUAUAGGCCCUUCUUGGUGGGCGCACUGAGUUUCCUCAUCCCUCGUAUCCUCCCUAACAACUCCCUGACA
ensembl:lncRNA